rnacentral:misc_RNA from 1 species
ACAUCCUCAACCUUUCUUUGGUUUCUUGACCAAGGGAAGGCUUGGACUUUGGAGGUUUUUAUUUUUGCUGGCUUUCUCAAAAGUCAGCUCCUCCUAAAUGAAUUAGUAGGGUCUGCUUUGCAGAUCCUUGAUGUGAUAAGGUAUUUCUACAUCUUGGAUCAUGCACAAGUCAGCAAGUCAGUGUUGGAUUCUGCUUCUAACCGUCUUUGCAAAAGACAAUGUUGCGAA